CCUACGGGUGGCAGCAGUGGGGAAUAUUGCACAAUGGGGGAAACCCUGAUGCAGCGAAGCCGCGUGAGGGAAGAAGGAAUUCGGUAUGUAAAGCUUCAUUAGCAGGGAAGAAAAUGACGGUACCUGAGUAAGAAGCCCCGGCUAACUUCGUGCCAGCAGCCGCGGUAAUACGUAGGGGGCAACCGUUAUCCGGAUUUACUGGGUUUAAAGGGAGCGUAGACGGUAGUGCAAGUCUGGAGUGAAAGGCGGGGGCUCAACCCCCGGACUGAUCUUGAAACUGUACGGCUGGAGUGCAGGAGAGGUAAGUGGAAUGCCUAGUGUAGCGGUGAAAUGCGUAGAUAUUAGGAAGAACACCAGUUGCGAAGGCAGCUUACUGGACUGUAACUGACGUUGAGGCUCGAAAGCGUGGGGAGCAAACAGGAUUAGAUACCCGGGUAGUC
rnacentral:rRNA from 1 species